AGCUGGUGCUGCUUAAAUUUUGGUUAUGGUUUCAGCCAGUAUUUUCCUGUUCACUCCUUUUCUUAUGAAGACAACGAGCUGUUGCAGCUAUUUUGGAACUUUGAUUUUGCUGGUAAUAGUUUAAUUAUAGUACCUUUGACCUUUUUUCAUGGUAACAACAGUUUGCUUAAUUAGCUUGAGUUUAAGUUCAAAAUUUUCUAGUCAAUUUAUGUAAGCGGGUUGGUUUGGUUGUUUGAUCUAGAAUUUAUAGAAGUACAAAUGGAUUAUAGAGUGAUUUAAACUCACACUGCUUCUUUUAAAACCAAAUUCGUUGAAUUUCUCACUUUAUAAUUUUUGUUAUGUCUCUGAAAGUUCGAAGUUUCCAAUUCUUCUUUAUCUACACUCAAAUUCACUUCUUUGAUUUGUUGGAAAUUUGAUUGAAUUAUGGUAGUUUUAGUGUGUUUCUUUAAAUUCAGAAAAAUAUUUAUAGGUUUCAAAUAUACAGACGUUAGACUACAAAUAGUCAUUGCUAAAAUUUUAGGGAAUUGCUUUAUGCUUCUUAGUUUUAAUGUAAUUUAAUUAAUUAUUUUUAUCAGGUAGUUGCUUAAUAAAUCGUGUUCAUUUUUGCUGUAAAAAAAUCCUCUUUUUCUUUAUGAAAAAUAUAACCUCUAAUUCACACCAUCAUGGAAAUGAGCUUUUCUUUUUCUUGUGAAUAAAUAUGAAUGUGAGAUUGAAAAGCUUCGGAUGUAUUAAAAAAGUUUUCAAUGUAGUAUUUGUAUUUGUAAAAUGCAAGAUUUAAUUGAUUAUUUUGGCAAGCAUGUAUAUAUUUUUCUUUUAUCAUCUGUUAAAUUUUUCUUAAAAGAAUUGCAUUGCACGUGUUUAAUAAUUUUAAAUAAUGAGUGAAAUUGUAAUUUCCAUAAUUGUUUGCUAUUGUGUUCGCAAAAUUAAUAAUAACUCUAAUAAAUUAUUUUCAAUUUAUUAAAAAUAGAGUGAAAGUUUGACAAACGUUUUUAAUUAAUUUUGUUGUGUUUAAUACUUAAAACUAUUUAUGAAAAAAGAGUUAAAAAAAUAGAUCAAAGUUUACCAUCUUAAAAUAUUAUCCAAGUUAUACAAUCCACAAAAAGGAGAGAACAAUAACGUUGAAGAACCUUUCGAUUUAUGAAGGUUGCGAAAACUUGUGGGGUUUUAAACAUUUUAAAUUCUAUUAUUAGUUUUAACUAAAUACAAAAUCAUAAAUGUUAAUCUUAACUUAUUUGUCACAAAAUAAAAGAGUAACUUGUAGUUAUUGCCUUUGUUGUAUUUUUAAAUUUUUUUAUUUAAAUUUAGAACAUUACAAAAAUAAACAAUUUAUUAUUUAGAGAAAUCAGAUUGUAUAGUUAAAUAAAAUUGAUAUAUUUUAAUUAAUACAAAACACAAAGAAGUAUGAUAUUUUUCCUAAUUAGUGAAAAAUGUAAAGGAUAAAAUUGUCGAUUUUUUUUUUCAAAUAAACUAGCUCUCUAAUAAUUUGAAUGGAAUAUUACUUAAUGUAACUAUUAUUUUAAUAAUGUUUCAAAUUUUAGUUUCUUCAAUACUUCAAUGACUUUAUUGUAUAAAAUAUCCAUGAAGUUCGAAUUUUAUAGUUUUUAAUUUAAUUUAUUUUUGUAAAAAGAUUAUUUCAAUUUAAUUCUCUAGUUUUAAAUACUUUUCAAUAAGGUUAAAGUAGUCAAUAUUAAAUUUACGUGACAUAAUAUUUAAUAUAUGAAUGAUAGAAUAUUACUUUUUUUUUUUAUCAAUAUUGGAAAAACAAUAAUAGAGAAAAAAUUAAAAAUUCUACAAAUAUUUUAAAUUUUUUUAUAAAAUAAGGACGUAAAUAUCAAGUAGUAUAUAUCUUUUUUCGUGAGAAUUGUAUUUUUUAAUCAUCCAUGCAUAGUCCUUUUAUAUUUAAAGAGCUUUAUUAUAACAUAAAGAGCUUUAUUCUAAAAUGUUAUGUAUGACUACUAAAAGAAAAAAAAAAAGUUGUGUAAAAAUGGCUAAUGUGAGAACAAAACACUGAAAUCCAAAUAGAAAAAAGAAUAAAGCGUUUAGAUGUUGGUAAAGAUUGAUAAUAAAGAAUAAUUAUUUUACAGUGGUAGAUAUGUUAGAGUUAUAAUACCUUUUCGAUUAUAUAACUUCUAAAAUCUGACUUUUAAUUAAAUUAAUGAAAUGAAAUCUUUAAAAUAAUAGGAUGGUGAGGUGUAUGGUGUAAUACAUUUUAAAUGUAACCGUGCUUGAAUUUUUAUGAGUAUUUUAGUCUAAGAAUGAGUAUUGUAGUUUAAAAUUGUUUUUGCAAAACCAUGAAAUUAAAUGGAUAUAUGAGAUUUUAUUUUAAUAUAAAAACCACUCGAAAAACCUCCUUUAAUUGAAAAAUUGUAAAAAAAUAUUUAAUGAUUUUUAGUGAUUUUUUUUCUAUUAAGUGUAAAUAUCUUAUUAUUAUUUUUAUUUUUAAAACCCCUCUAUUUAAUUAGAAACUUUUUAUUAAUUCAUAUUUUAGGGUGGUUUAAGAAAUUACGGUGAAUUAAUAACAAAAUCUUUUAUAAGUUAUUAACAUUAUUUGAAAUGUUUUUUUUUUAAAAAAAUAUAUUUGAACGCUUUUUUAAUCAUUUGCUUAAAAUUGUUUAGUUAUUUAAAGUGGUUGAAUUAAUGGCAUAAACUUGACAUUCUAAAAAGAUGAAGGUGUGUUUAUAAAUGUUUUUUUUCCCUUCAGAUUCCUACUUUUUAUAUAUUAUAGAUUUGUAUUUAUACUCUUUUUUUAGUCAGGUUAAAUUAUUAUAUUGAGGCUAAAUAGUUAGUUUCCUAAACAUUAUCAAACUGUGAUUAUAACUAAAUCAAUUAGUGACUCAAAAACACUCCCGAUGUUAGUUUUUAGGUGUACAUAGGUGUUUGCUUCUAGGUGUAAGUAGGUAUGUGGGGUUUAUGAGUUUUAUGUAACUUUUAGAGGUUCUUUUUUUCUUUUUUUAAUGAAUGAUACAAUAUUUUGAUUCCAAUCAAAAAUGGUUUCGAGUUUCAAAUUUAACGAGAAAUGAUAGGUGCAUGUGAUUUUAUUCAAAUAUCCUCAUUUUAGUACGCUUCAAACACUCUUCUUGCGUCCAUGUCUUGAUCCAAAUCCCACUCUCCACUAAAGUUCCAUGCUCAAUCCCGCUUGACGAUCCACAUUUCUAAUUGCGUUUCUUGCUCAACGAUUCCACUUUUCGACACGUAGGCUCGUUAAAUCAGUUGACUUUUUGUAUUUUCUGUUUUAUGUUUUCCAAGUAGAGUUCUCAACAAGAAGUGUUUUCAUUAAUAUCACAAUAAGUGUUUAUCAAUUUCUAUUAUUGAUAAAAUAUAACACUUUGUUACCUUUUAUAAAUAUUUUGGUUUUUUUUGUUAUAUUUGAAAAUGUCCCUUUAAUAAAUUUAUUUUAAGAUUUUAAGAUUUGAAGUUUGUUUUAAGUAAACAUAGGAAACAAUUCGCUCCAAUUUUUUUUGUUCUUUCCUUUGUGAUUUUUUCUUUAAUCCUAACAAACAAAUUUACCUCGGGAUGAAUUCAAAUUUCACUUAUGAGUAACUAAUGAAGGUAAAAAUAAAAGUGUUAAAAGCUUGGAAGGAUUGUUCUACAAAAGAAAAAACUUCAAAAUAAAAUUGAAAAACUAAACCCAUUCUUCAAUACUUAGUUUUACAAUUUAAUUUUUUUUAAAACAAUAAUAUGGAAGAUUUGUGAAGUUUAAGACCAAUAACAACACCACCAAUAAUAAACCAUCAAAGCUAAGUUGAAUAAUGUAAGGCAUUGAAUUGAAACUUUCACAUAAAUAUGUAAAAAACUAAUUAAUUAAACUCAAAUAAUGAGUGGAAAUAGGUAAUUGUAACUUGUGAGUAAUGAUUCUAUUUGGAGGUAUUUGCCUCGAAGUCAACCAUUGUGAGAGUACUCAUUGAGAGUUUAAUCUUUUUGCAAAAGAGAAAAGAUAAUCUAAAGAAUUAUGAAAAAAGAAAAGCAUUUUAUAUUCCUCAUUUGAUAGAGCCAUGAAUUAAAUACAAGUUUUAGUUGCAAUAAUUAGAAUCUGGAUGACUCACUCUUUCUCUUAAAAUAUUCUCUUUCUUUAUGUGUUAGCUUAGCCUAUAUAUAUCAUUCAUAUAUAUCCAAAAAUGGUGAACUCAAUUUAUAUGUUUUAGGAUUUGUUGGUUGCCUAAAAAAUUUUCUUUUUUCAUCUAAAUAUGUCAACUUUUAGACUUUUAUUUUUACUUUUUAAAAAAUAUAUAGGAUUAUUGUGCAGACUUUCAAUACGCAAUUACGAAAACAAAUUAGGAUUCUACCCAAUUUCAAUGUUUAAAACUAUAUCCACACCUAUUCAACUUUUUGUUUCUUGGAGAGCUAAUUGAUCAAUUUUUUAAAAUUAUUUUAAAUAUUGAUAUAAAAUUAGUGAUAAUUAAUUUAGUUCUUUUAAAUAAAUUAAUAGACAGUAGCAUUAUACUCAAAUUUAUAUAGGUUGGGAUGUUAAAAGAACUAAAUUGUGAUUAAAUUCAAAUUUUAAAAAUAAAAUAGCAACAUUCUUUUAUUUAUAUAAAGUUUGCCAAUUCUUUUAUUUUAAAAUACUCAUAUAUUUUAUUUUUGUGGGUUUCCAUUCACUGGUUUUAGAAAAACACAACUUUUUUUAGUCAUCACGUUGAUUAAUUCUACAUAUCAAUUUAAAACAAAAGUCAUAUACCAAUUCCAAUACAUUUCUAACAAUUUUGUUAAGAAAAAAAAUUGCCUUUAAAAAACCCAUGAGCUAUUUUACAAUUAGUAUUUAAAAAUUGAUUUUAAAAACUAAAGAAAUGAAAUAUGCCUAAGAAAAAUAUAUGACAAAAAAAAAAAAAAAGAUAAGGAGUAAUGAAAGGCAAAACAACUGCCGACAAAUUGAGGAUAGAUUUGAAGCCGUUGUAGAAUUUAAUUAUCAAUUUGGCUUUGCUUUCUAUACAUUAUGCAAUCCACCUACUCCCUUUUACAUUUAUUUUAUUUUAUUUGUUGAAUUAUCAAUGUAUCAAUUUUAUAGAAAUGUCGACAAAAAAUAUUGAUACAACGUCGAGUGAUGUUGUAUAGCUUUUCCUUUUUACGUAAUUAAUGAUUAAUUUUUUCAAUAAUAUAUAAUUCAUACUUUCAUUCAUUCUUCAUGAUUAUCAUAACAAACAUUUUUCCUAUCUCAAUUUAAUUACAAGUUUAUAUUUAGUUCACUUUUUAAAUUUUGUAUGUGUCUAAUUAAAUUAUUAUUUUUUUUGUUUGAUAAAGGUUUGAAUGGUAAAAAUUGUAUAUUAGGAUUUUCUAGGGAGAAGAAAUAGGUUUAAUGAAUUUCGAAGUUCUAUUACUAUUUGAUGGAGUUGAUUUACUUUGGAUGGCUACAAUAAAAAUAGAUUCUUGCAACUCUAAAAUAUUAACAUAAACAAAUUUAUUGCCUUUGUUUUUGUAGUACUUAGAAUCCACAGAAAAGUGCAUUAGAUGACAUAUCUAAAAUCUGUCGAUAUUAGUUUUGUAUGCAUGUCUUUUUAAUAUGGUCAACAACAAACAUUAAUUGACGUUUGUUAUAAUCUAUUACGAUAACAUUUUUUGACAUUGAAAAGUUGUCUCAAAAUUACAUAUACUGACAUUAAUUUAGUCAUUCAAGAUUGAAGUUUGAUUGAUGACAUUAUAGAUUUUAAUGUCAAAUAGAUAUAUUUAAUCAUAACAUAUGUGAAAUGUCAAACGAUGUUGAAAAUGGUAUGAGUUGAUGUUUGUGCUUCUUGAGUUCUUCGUUGAAUUAGUUCUACUUGAAACUCAUUAGGACAAUAGUCUGUUUUUUUUUUCGAGAAAAAUACAUUGUCUAUGCUAAUAGUAAAAGCUUGACCUAUUUUAUUGGAUUCUACUUAGAAAAAAAA
rnacentral:lncRNA from 1 species